rnacentral:misc_RNA from 1 species
AAGUCGUAACAAGGUUUCCGUAGGUGAACCUGCGGAAGGAUCAUUCACACUUAAAGGAGUCUGGGCAGUCAAAUGCUUCAUUCUCUGAAUCUCCAAACUAAACCAAUAUGCUACCGCUACACCAAGGCUUCCGUUCUCUUCGGAGAAUCGUAGGGGCAGUGCUUGCUUGCAGGCACGUCUAAUCAACUGAUUUUAUUUUACCCCCGUCGUCGCUUGUGGAGCUUGCUCUGCUUGUGAUUGUCAUUCCGGACUGAGCCUGUUUCUCGUCGACUUAAGCACUCGAUGUAGAUCCAUGUUAGGCGAUUACGCAACUCUACACUUUGGUGUAAAAAUUACAACUCUUUGCAAUGGAUAUCUUGGUUCUC